UCGUACGACGAGUUUGAUCAUGGCUCAGAUUGAACGCUGGCGGAAUGCUUACACAUGCAAGUCGAACGGUAGAGGGGGCAACCCUUGAGAGUGGCGAACGGGUGAGUAAUAUAUCGGAACGUGCCCAGUCGCGGGGGAUAACGUAGCGAAAGCUACGCUAAUACCGCAUACGAUCUACGGAUGAAAGCGGGGGGACUCGCAAGAGCCUCGCGCGAUUGGAGCGGCCGAUAUCAGAUUAGGUAGUUGGUGGGGUAAAGGCUCACCAAGCCAACGAUCUGUAGCUGGUCUGAGAGAACGACCAGCCACACUGGGACUGAGACACGGCCCAGACUCCUACGGGAGGCAGCAGUGGGGAAUUUUGGACAAUGGGCGAAAGCCUGAUCCAGCAAUGCCGCGUGCAGGAAGAAGGCCUUCGGGUUGUAAACUGCUUUUGUACGGAACGAAAAGGCUCUUUCUAAUAAAGAGGGCCCAUGACGGUACCGUAAGAAUAAGCACCGGCUAACUACGUG
rnacentral:rRNA from 1 species